rnacentral:rRNA from 1 species
CUUUGUACUGUGAAACUGCGAAUGGCUCAUUAAAUCAGUUAUCGUUUAUUUGAUAGUACCCUACUACAUGGAUACCUGUGGUAAUUCUAGAGCUAAUACAUGCGCAAAACCCCGACUUCGGAAGGGGUGUAUUUAUUAGAUAAAAAACCAAUGCCCUUCGGGGCUCCUUGGUGAUUCAUAAUAACUUAACGAAUCGCAUGGCCUUGCGCCGGCGAUGGUUCAUUCAAAUUUCUGCCCUAUCAACUUUCGAUGGUAGGAUAGUGGCCUACCAUGGUGGCAACGGGUAACGGGGAAUUAGGGUUCGAUUCCGGAGAGGGAGCCUGAGAAACGGCUACCACAUCCAAGGAAGGCAGCAGGCGCGCAAAUUACCCAAUCCCGAUCCGGGGAGGUAGUGACAAUAAAUACUGAUAUAGGGCUCUUUUGGGUCUUAUAAUUGGAAUGAGUACAAUCUAAACCCCUUAACGAGGAACAAUUGGAGGGCAAGUCUGGUGCCAGCAGCCGCGGUAAUUCCAGCUCCAAUAGCGUAUAUUAAAGUUGUUGCAGUUAAAAAGCUCGUAGUUGAACCUUGGGCCCGUCCUGCCGGUCCGCCUCACCGCGAGUACUGGUCCGGAUGGGCCUUUCUUUCUGGGGAAUCCCAUGGCCUUCACUGGCUGUGGCGGGGAACCAGGACUUUUACUGUGAAAAAAUUAGAGUGUUCAAAGCAGGCCUUUGCUCGGAUACAUUAGCAUGGAAUAAUAAAAUAGGACGUGUGGUUCUAUUUUGUUGGUUUCUAGGACCGCCGUAAUGAUUAAUAGGGAUAGUCGGGGGCGUCAGUAUUCAGCUGUCAGAGGUGAAAUUCUUGGAUUUGCUGAAGACUAACUACUGCGAAAGCAUUCGCCAAGGAUGUUUUCAUUAAUCAGGGAACGAAAGUUAGGGGAUCGAAGACGAUCAGAUACCGUCGUAGUCUUAACCAUAAACUAUGCCGACUAGGGAUCGGGCGGUGUUUCUAUGAUGACCCGCUCGGCACCUUACGAGAAAUCAAAGUUUUUG